AUUGAACGCUGGCGGCAGGCCUAACACAUACAAGUCGAACGGUAACAGGAAGAAGCUUGCUUCUUUGCUGACGAGUGGCGGACGGGUGAGUAAUGUCUGGGAAACUGCCUGAUGGAGGGGGAUAACUACUGGAAACGGUAGCUAAUACCGCAUAACGUCGCAAGACCAAAGAGGGGGACCUUCGGGCCUCUUGCCAUCGGAUGUGCCCAGAUGGGAUUAGCUAGUAGGUGGGGUAACGGCUCACCUAGGCGACGAUCCCUAGCUGGUCUGAGAGGAUGACCAGCCACACUGGAACUGAGACACGGUCCAGACUCCUACGGGAGGCAGCAGUGGGGAAUAUUGCACAAUGGGCGCAAGCCUGAUGCAGCCAUGCCGCGUGUAUGAAGAAGGCCUUCGGGUUGUAAAGUACUUUCAGCGGGGAGGAAGGGAGUAAAGUUAAUACCUUUGCUCAUUGACGUUACCCGCAGAAGAAGCACCGGCUAACUCCGUG
rnacentral:rRNA from 1 species